rnacentral:rRNA from 1 species
UUAACACAUGCAGUCGAACGCUGAAGCCUGCAGCUUGCUGUUGGGUGGAUGAGUGGCGAACGGGUGUAGUAACACGUGAGUUAACCUGCCCCUGACUCUGGGAUAAGCCCGGGAAACUGGGUCUAAUACCGGAUAUGACCAUUCUCCGCAUGGAGUGGUGGUGGAAAGUUUUUCGGUUGGGGAUGGGCUCGCGGCCUAUCAGCUUGUUGGUGGGGUGAUGGCCUACCAAGGCGACGACGGGUAGCCGGCCUGAGAGGGCGACCGGCCACACUGGGACUGAGACACGGCCCAGACUCCUACGGGAGGCAGCAGUGGGGAAUAUUGCACAAUGGGGGAAACCCUGAUGCAGCGACGCCGCGUGGGGGAUGACGGCCUUCGGGUUGUAAACCUCUUUCAGUAGGGAAGAAGCCUUCGGGUGACGGUACCUGCAGAAGAAGUACCGGCUAACUACGUGCCAGCAGCCGCGGUAAUACGUAGGGUACAAGCGUUGUCCGGAAUUAUUGGGCGUAAAGAGCUCGUAGGUGGUCUGUCACGUCUGCUGUGGAAACGCAAGGCUCAACCUUGCGCGUGCAGUGGGUACGGGCGGACUAGAGUGCAGUAGGGGAGUCUGGAAUUCCUGGUGUAGCGGUGAAAUGCGCAGAUAUCAGGAGGAACACCGGUGGCGAA